rnacentral:rRNA from 1 species
GAUGAACGCUGGCGGCGUGCCUAAUACAUGCAAGUCGAACGCUGAGGGCGGAGCUUGCUCUUCUGGAUGAGUUGCGAACGGGUGAGUAACGCGUAGGUAACCUGCCUGGUAGCGGGGGAUAACUAUUGGAAACGAUAGCUAAUACCGCAUGACAACAGCUAUUGCAUGAUAACUGUUUAAAAGGUGCAACUGCUCCACUACCAGAUGCACCUGCGUUGUAUUAGCUAGUUGGUGAGGUAACGGCUCACCAAGGCGACGAUACAUAGCCGACCGGAGAGGGUGAGCGGCCACACUGAGAGUGAGACACGGCACAGUGUGCCAGGGGAGGCGGCAGGAGGGAAUCGGGGGGAAUGGAUGGAGGUCAGACCGAGCUACGCGGCGGGAGUGAAGAAGAGUGUCGGAUGGUAAAGCUCUGUUGUAAGGGAAGAACGAGUGUGAGAGUGGAAAGUUGACACUGUGACGGUAUCGGACCAGAAAGGGACGGCUAACUACGUG